UGCUCCCCGCGCCUGCCCCCUGCGGCGGGAGCGCCGUGUUCCCGCACGGAUUCUGGGGGAGCGGUCCCGAGCCGCAGCGCCUGGCGUGCACGCGGAGGCUGAAGCUUUUAUUCGGCUUAAAAACGGAGAAACCUCAGAGGGAAUCGCUCGUUUUAAGAUACCUGGAAAAGGUUUUGGAGAAAAUAAGAGCCAAACUCCACUCGGAAUACAACGAAGAAAGGGAGCCCUACGCUGUAGCUUCCAUUUCCUCUGUGGCAUAUUAUUUCACUUUAGACUUUUUCACGUUUUGCAGUUAGAAAAUGAAACUGAAAAUGGAAAUGAAAAUAAUUUUGACAUCCUAUAUAUUGAAUAAGAAGAUGCAAAGCUCUGGUGCCCACGAUGUCGGUGAGGUCAAAUGAUUGAGAAACUGAAGCAGGAGCUGAUUGGUUUGAAACAAGAAGUGCAAGAAGAGAAGAGG